rnacentral:rRNA from 1 species
AUGUUUUUUUUAAGUCUCAUGGCAAUGCACGGGCAUUCAACUAGUAUUAUAAAAUGUUCAAUGCGUAUUCAAAAAUUGGUCAAUGCAUAUAUUCAUAUAUAUUUUCAAAAAAGUUCAUCAUAUAUAAAAAAGGUUCAUCGUGCAUUACUGAAAAUGUUCAUCAUUUAUUUAAAAAGUCCAUCAUAUAAUAACAGUAGGAGGCUAAUCAAUCAUUUGUUUCAUGGGCGCGCGUGGGCCACGUGGAGUGCGAUUUGGACUGCCCAUGUUGCUUUCGGCCGGUUAAAAGCGCGACGCGACACGACAAGUCGGCCGGUGAGCAGGAGGACAAGUCGGCCGUGCUUUGCUCUCCCUGACUCCCUCCCACAGCACUCGCGACUGAGUGCUCUUUGUUGA